rnacentral:rRNA from 2 species
UUUAAAUAUAAAUAAAUGAUACUUAAUUAGUAGUAGUUAUGUUCUUUAAAUUUAAAGAUUUUGGCGGUGUUUUAGUCUAUUCAGAGGAACCUGUUCUGUAAUUGAUAGUCCACGAUAAAUUAUACUUAAUUUAUAAAUUUGUAUAUCGUCGUUAUUAAAUAUUUUAUAAGAAUUUUAAUGUUUAAGAUUUUAUAUUAAAUUAUAUAUCAGAUCAAGGUGCAGUUGAUAAUUAAGGAGAAAUGGGUUACAUUAAAUUUAUUUAUUAUGGAAUUAUAUAUGAAAAUUUGUAAUGAAGGUGGAUUUGAUAGUAAUAAGAUUUAUAUAGAUUUUAUGAUUUUAGCUCUAAGAUGUGU